GAGGAGGAAGAGGAAGAGGAAGAGGAAUGGGAGGAGGAGGAGGAGGAGGAGGAGGAAGGGGAAGAGGAAGAGGAAAAGGAUGAGGAUGGAGGUGGUCAUGAGGAUUACGUCAAAUGAUAAGUUUGGCAUUGGAAUUUGAAAAACAUGCUAAUAAUUAAUUCUUGCAGGCAAGGUUGGUUACCUGUUACAUGUUCACCUCAACAUUAGGUGAUUUCUCGGAGAUUUAUGUCUUUGAGCUGUGGUGCUGUGAAUGUUUUUUAAUUUGUGGAAUUGAUUUCAACUGUUUCAUUGGCAAUGGCAUACAAUUUGGCUUUGUAUUGUAAUUUUAUAGAACUCCCAAAAGAACAAUAUUGACUUAUCUA